AAAUUGAAGAGUUUGAUCAUGGCUCAGAUUGAACGCUGGCGGCAGGCCUAACACAUGCAAGUCGAGCGGAAACGAGUUAUCUGAACCUUCGGGGAACGAUAACGGCGUCGAGCGGCGGACGGGUGAGUAAUGCCUAGGAAAUUGCCCUGAUGUGGGGGAUAACCAUUGGAAACGAUGGCUAAUACCGCAUGAUGCCUACGGGCCAAAGAGGGGGACCUUCGGGCCUCUCGCGUC
rnacentral:rRNA from 1 species